rnacentral:misc_RNA from 1 species
UGCAGACAGAAGACCAGUAG